rnacentral:lncRNA from 1 species
AUACUUAGUUAAAAUUAGAGCAACAAAGAAUAAUAAUAUCAGUAUCACAUAUCAUAUUUAGAUAUAAAUCAAUAUAUGAGUGUUGGGGAAGAUUCUUGACCGUCACCUUGGCCGGCUGGAGCAGGACAAAAGCUAUCGGAGGAAUACUCCCUACAAAACAAGUCCCGACCGGAGUGGGCUUUAGUGAGGAUCCUUCAACGAUCAAGUCAAGAAUCUGGCACAACAGAGGAGAAG